rnacentral:ncRNA from 1 species
CCUUUGCUAUGUUCGAGAGCAGAGCCCGACGAGACGCGCCGUACCGGGUCAAGGCAAAGACGACGCACC